CGACCGGCGCACGGGUGAGUAACGCGUAUCCAACCUGCCUUACACUCUUGGACAGCCUUCUGAAAGGGAGAUUAAUACAAGAUGUUAUCAUGAGUAAGCAUUUUCGCAUGAUUAAAGGUUUACCGGUGUAAGAUGGGGAUGCGUUCCAUUAGAUAGUAGGCGGGGUAACGGCCCACCUAGUCUUCGAUGGAUGGGGGUUCUGAGAGGAAGGUCCCCCACAUUGGAACUGAGACACGGCCAA
rnacentral:rRNA from 1 species